CCUACGGGUGGCAGCAGUGAGGAAUAUUGGUCAAUGGGCUUACGCCUGAACCAGCCAAGUCGCGUGAGGGAAGACUGCCCUAUGGGUUGUAAACCUCUUUUGUCAGGGAGCAAUUGGCGCUACGUGUAGCGUUAUCGAGAGUACCUGAAGAAAAAGCAUCGGCUAACUCCGUGCCAGCAGCCGCGGUAAUACGGAGGAUGCGUGCGUUAUCCGGAUUGAUUGGGUUUAAAGGGUGCGUAGGCGGAAUGUCAAGUCAGCGGUAAAAUCGCGGGGCUCAACCGCGCUCCGCCGUUGAUACUGGCAGUCUUGAGUGGGCGAGAGGGAUGCGGAAUGCGUGGUGUAGCGGUGAAAUGCAUAGAUAUCACGCAGAACUCCGAUUGCGAAGGCAGCAUACCGGCGCCCGACUGACGCUGAAGCACGAAAGCGUGGGUAUCGAACAGGAUUAGAUACCCUAGUAGUC
rnacentral:rRNA from 1 species